rnacentral:rRNA from 1 species
AACGAACGCUGGCGGCGCGCCUAACACAUGCAAGUCGAACGAGAAUCCGGGGCAACCCGGUAGUAAAGUGGCAAACGGGUGAGGAAUACAUGGGUAACCUACCCUUGAGAAGGGAAUAACCCGCCGAAAGGUGAGCUAAUACCCUAUACGCUAUCUUUUUUUCGAAAGGAUAGGAAAGCCGGGUCGAGGACCUGGUACUCAAGGAGGGGCUCAUGUCCUAUCAGCUUGUUGGUGGGGUAACGGCCUACCAAGGCUACGACGGGUAGCUGGUCUGAGAGGAUGAUCAGCCACACUGGCACUGAGAUACGGGCCAGACUCCUACGGGAGGCAGCAGUGAGGAAUAUUGCGCAAUGGGCGAAAGCCUGACGCAGCGACGCCGCGUGGGGGAGUGAAGGUUUUCGGUA